rnacentral:rRNA from 1 species
UGAACGCUGGCGGCAGGCUUAACACAUGCAAGUCGAGCGGUAGCACAGGGGAGCUUGCUCCCUGGGUGACGAGCGGCGGACGGGUGAGUAAUGUCUGGGAAACUGCCUGAUGGAGGGGGAUAACUACUGGAAACGGUAGCUAAUACCGCAUAACGUCGCAAGACCAAAGAGGGGGACCUUCGGGCCUCUUGCCAUCAGAUGUGCCCAGAUGGGAUUAGCUAGUAGGUGGGGUAAUGGCUCACCUAGGCGACGAUCCCUAGCUGGUCUGAGAGGAUGACCAGCCACACUGGAACUGAGACACGGUCCAGACUCCUACGGGAGGCAGCAGUGGGGAAUAUUGCACAAUGGGCGCAAGCCUGAUGCAGCCAUGCCGCGUGUGUGAAGAAGGCCUUCGGGUUGUAAAGCACUUUCAGCGAGGAGGAAGGUGGUGAGCUUAAUACGUUCAUCAAUUGACGUUACUCGCAGAAGAAGCACCGGCUAACUCCGUGCCAGCAGCCGCGGUAAUACGGAGGGUGCAAGCGUUAAUCGGAAUUACUGGGCGUAACGCGCACGCAGGCGGUUUGUUAAGUCAGAUGUGAAAUCCCCGGGCUCAACCUGGGAACUGCGUUUGAAACUGGCAAGCUAGAGUCUCGUAUAGGGGGGUAAAAUUCCAGGAGUAGCGGUGAAAUGCGUAGAGAUCUGGAGGAAUACCGGUGGCGAAGGCGGCCCCCUGGACGAAGACUGACGGUCAGGAGCGGAAGGGUGGGGAGCAAACAGGAUUAGAUACCCUGGUAGUCCACGCAGAAAACGAUGUCGAUUUGGAGGUUGUGCCCUUGAGGCGUGGCUUCCGGAGCUAACGCGUUAAAUCGACUGCCUGGGGAGUACGGCCGCAAGGUUAAAACUCAAAAUGAAUUGACGGGGGCCCGCACAAGCGGUGGAGCAUGUGGUUUAAUUCGAUGCAACGCGAAGAACCUUACCUACUCUUGACAUCCAGAGAACUUAGCAGAGAUGCUUUGGUGCCUUCGGGAACUCUGAGACAGGUGCUGCAUGGCUGUCGUCAGCUCGUGUUGUGAAAUGUUGGGUUAAGUCCCGCAACGAGCGCAACCCUUAUCCUUUGUUGCCAGCGGUUCGGCCGGGAACUCAAAGGAGACUGCCAGUGAUAAACUGGAGGAAGGUGGGGAUGACGUCAAGUCAUCAUGGCCCUUACGAGUAGGGCUACACACGUGCUACAAUGGCGUAUACAAAGAGAAGCGACCUCGCGAGAGCAAGCGGACCUCAUAAAGUACGUCGUAGUCCGGAUUGGAGUCUGCAACUCGACUCCAUGAAGUCGGAAUCGCUAGUAAUCGUAGAUCAGAAUGCUACGGUGAAUACGUUCCCGGGCCUUGUACACACCGCCCGUCACACCAUGGGAGUGGGUUGCAAAAGAAGUAGGUAGCUUAACCUUCGGGAGGGCGCUUACCAC